UCAAGGUUUAUCCUUUAUGGGUAUAGCAGAGUCAGGACUAGAAUGCAUACAUAUUAUAUUCCAGGCAUGUAAAAUGUUGUGAUCAAGCAGUUGGCCCUUGGUGUGAUGGUCUCUAUCCUGUAAAUAUAUUGACUGAAAACAUUAAGCAGUAAUGGAAUGCACUGUUCAGUAUAUGUCAAGGCUCCCACAGCACAGCUAUGCAAAAAAGAAAUUGUUUUUAGUAUAUGCUGCUCUGGGUCAUUCUUCAACACAAUUACCUUGUCCUUUCCACCAGGUGGUUGACCAGAUUGACACCCUGACCUCUGACCUACAGCUGGAGGAUGAGAUGACUGACAGCUCCAAAACAGACACGCUGAAUAGUAGCUCAAGCAGCACAACAGCCUCCAGCCUAGACAAGAUCAAAGUGCAGGCUAACGCACCGCUUAUUAAACCCCCAGCACACCCAUCUGCUAUCCUUACGGUCCUGAGAAAGCCAAACCCUCCACCACCUCCUCCGCGGUUGACACCUGUGAAGUGUGAGGACCCCCAAAGGGUGGUGCCAACCUUCAAUCCUGUAAAGACCAAUGGCACCCUUUUACGAAACGGAGGCUUACCAAGUGGACCUAACAAAAUUCCAAAUGGAGAUAUCUGCUGCACACCCAAUAGUAACUUGGACAAGGCUCCAGGGCAGCCUCUGAUACACAGACCUGAAAAAGACAGGUGUCCCCAGGGAGGGCCUCGAGAACGAGUUCGGUUUAAUGAAAAAGUGCAGUACCAUGGCUGUUGUCCCGACUGUGAUACCCGGUAUAACAUAAAAAACAGGGAGGUUCACUUACACAACGAACCUGUUCGUCCACCAGGGAAGAUUCCUCACCAAGGCCCUCCCCUCCCUCCUCCGCCUCGUCUCUCUCCUUUCCCAUCAGAAAAUGGGGGACCGGGAAUCAGCAACAGUAACAGCUUUCCCCCUCUAAGACCCGCAACUGUGCCUCCUCCCACUGCACCAAAACCACAGAAGACCAUCUUGAGGAAAUCAACCACUACAACAGUGUGAUGUAUGCCAUUUAAAAAAAAAAAAAACUUUUGUUUUUUAAUUUUCUAUAUUAUAAGCAUAAAAUAAUAAGUAAUGAGCACUUUCUACUCAAGCAAUAAAAAGCCCAAAUAUAUUAAUCCUGCAUUCAGCAAAGUGGCAUAAAACUCACCUGGUAAGUAUGCAGUACAUUGCUUAUAUCCUCGGUAUGCAUUAUUUUAAAUGUUGUAUCAUCAGAAACCUCAGAAUGAUGAAAAAUCUGAAUGCAUUGUUUUUGCAAUUGACCUAUGACAAACUGUGACCUGCAGAUUUCUCAUAUUUUGAUUUACUAUAAGAGAUGGUAUUUGAUUCAUUUUAUUCAUGCCUAACUCAUCUAUGCAUUAAUAACAUGUCAUACUUUUAACUUUGAUCUAACGCUUUUUACUGAGAAAUUUUAAUACCGAAGGACUAUUUUAUUAUUUUUUUCUAAAGAUGUUUGUCACUAGUUUUUCAUUACUAAAUGCUGAGGACAAUACCAAAAAGUUUAUUUUCUAUAUUAUACAAUUAUGAAUUAUAUGUUCCGCUAUAUAUGUAAUAAAAUAUUUUGGUCUGUGGAAAUAUCAUUAUGUCAAUAAACAAGAGUAAAUAAUGACAAAACCAAA